CCUACGGGUGGCAGCAGUGGGGAAUAUUGGGCAAUGGGCGCAAGCCUGACCCAGCAAAGUCGCGUGAAGGAAGAAGGCCCUCGGGUUGUUAACCUCCUUUGUUAGGGAAGAGUAGUAGACGGUACCUGACGCUUAAGCCACGGCUAACUACGUGCCAGCAGCCGCGGUAAUACGUAGGUGGCAGGUGUUGUCCGGAUUUACUGGGUGUAAAGGGAGUGUUGUGGGGUUGACAAGUCUGAUGUGAAAUCCUGGGGCUUAACCGCAGAACUGCAGUGGAAACUGUUGAUCUUGAGUACGAGAGAGGCAGGCGGAAUGCGUGGUGUAGCGGUGAAAUGCGUAGAUAUGACGAAGAACACCGAUGGCGAAGGCGGUCUGCUGGAGAGCAACUGACGGUGAGGCGCGAAAGCGUGGGGAGCGAACAGGAUUAGAUACCCCUGUAGUC
rnacentral:rRNA from 1 species